AUUUAUUGUAGAUUAGUUGCCCUAAUUUCUUUGUCUUAAUUGUUCUUUCUUGAUACGGGAAUUUUGGAUUUGAAGGUUUAAAUAGAACUCAAGUUUACUGAUUUUGUUGAAGAGAUCUGAGAUAUGGGUUGCAACAUAAGUAUAAUUUUAUUUUUGAUAUUUAUCCUUAACUGACAGUUGUUUUUUUUGGUUUGUUUCAUUUGAGUCUUUUUUCUGGUUGAGGACUUAACCUAAAAGAAGGAUUGGUAUUAGUUUUUUAGGAUGAGGAUUUAUCUGCUGCAACUUCGCCAAGAAGGAUUUAACCCCAUCUUAGAUUGGUAUUAGUUUCAUAAUUCUCAUGGUGGUUCUUAAGUUAACAGUGUUCUCUUGGUAUUUUGUUGUGUUUUUUUCGAUUGAUUUGUCUAUAUUUGAUGUUGUUCUUAUUUGUAUAGAGGUGGGUUUUCUAAUUUUGAGGUAAGGUAUAACAUCAUCCUCAUUACCCACCUUGAAAGGAAUUGUCUACAAUGGUCAGUAUGCUUUGAUUGGAAAACAUAUGCAUUUUAAGAAUUUCUUAAGAUUUAUACAUGAAGUUGCUCAUAUAGUAGUUGGUCAUUGGCCUCGGCAUGUUCUUUGAGUAACCUCUUCAAUGAAGAACAUAAAUUCUUUGGUCUUUUGCUUCUCUAGUUGAUGAUACAGGAGAGCAACCUCUUCAAGUAUGAUUCACUGAAGUCAUGUGUAUAUUCAUGUAUUUGCUUUAGCGUCAACGACAAUUAAUAAUAGAUUUGGAUCCCCUACCCCCAAAAUUGAGAAGAUGCGAUAGUAUAUAACCCUUCAAGAAGCCGAAACAGGACAACAAUACUUUAGACGCUUAACUCGUUGAAAAUCCUAGCUAUAUCCUGGAGCUUAGGUUUUAGGCUUCUUACGUGGACAGACAUUUGCUAAGACUGAUAUGGAAGCCACACUCUCAGCAAAGGAGGCCUUUGAUACUCAAGAUUUUGAGUUGUCCCCUGAAGCUUGAGCGCAGACAUUGUCAAUUCAUCCAUAGUUACUUAUGAAAUGAUGCGUAUAAAGCUUUUGCAACAUUGGUGACCUAGACUGUUAUUCUUGUGGACCUGGCUGCCUCACGUGAUCAUGCCUGGAUUAGUGAUAUGGAAAGUCCUCCACAAAGCUUAAGAUAGUGGUCUUUCAGUCCCACAAAUAUCCUCUUAUUGAAUGAUGAACAACCUACUAUACACUGAUGCAUCUGAAAUGAAGCUUUCUCCAUUUGAGGCAGUGGGUACCAACAAUUCCUCAUUUGGGUAUUAUUUUACCAUAUGUUAUCUUUGACUACACGAUCAGUAAUUUCUUAAGAUGAAUAUUUUCCACUACAUAGUUCUUCUAUUUCUGAAUGUAUAUUUCCUUCUUUGUAUGUCAUUGAUGAGUUGUAUCUCGAAAAACAUAGAAGAUGGACCAGCGCCGCUCGGACACAGUUUCUGAAUGUUCUGUAAUAAAGAUGUUACCAUUGGCGCAUCGAUGGUAACAAUGAAUUUUAACCAUGGAAAUAAUCAUUCGUUGGGCGAAACUUACUGGACUCUAUCAUCCAUUGUCGUGUGGUGUGGGAUAUUCCCAAAUGUUCAGAAGUGGUUGCUGCCUAGGUUGUACUCAAUGUUCCUGAAACCAGAGUUGAUGAUGCAGAAUUCCAGGAGAAUGGAGUUUAUGCACUUGAUAUGGUUUCCAUCACAAGGGAGGGUAGAAAAUCAUUUUGCUGUUUAACCAAUAGUUUUCUAGUUCAUCGUUUUGUAAUUGAAUCCUAGAACUACAGAUUACACUGGUCAGAACUACAAAUUUUAAUUCUUUGUGUAAUUUGAAACCAAUGAAUCAAUGAAUGUUAAAUUGAAUGA